rnacentral:rRNA from 1 species
GACGAACGCUGGCGGCGUGCCUAAUACAUGCAAGUCGAACGCAGUGGGGACGGGUGAGUAACACGUGGGUAACCUCCCAUCAGAGGGGAUAACACUUGGAAACAGGUGCUAAACCGAUACUGAUGGAUGGACCCGCGUUGCAUGAGCUAGUUGGUGAGGUAACGGCUCACCAAGGCCACGAUGCAUAGCAGUGCCGAGCGGGUGAUCGGCCACACGGGGCAUGGGAUAUGGCCCAGACUCCUGCGGGAGGCAGCAGUAGGGAAUCUUCGGCAAUGGACGAAAGUCAGACCGAGCAACGCCGCGUGAGUGAAGAAGGGUUUCGGAUCGUAAAACUCUGUUGUUAGAGAAGCGGUAUCUAACCAGAAAGCCACGGCUAACUACGUGCCAGCAGCCGCGGUAAUUC